CGCUCAUCCAGAGGGGCAGAGGGAACGGCCCUGCGAAGCCCCGGCAACCGGCGUCAGCCAGUCAUCUCGAUCCGCGAGGUAGCUGACGAUCACGGUGCCAAUUCCGGCCCACCUGUGGGACAGAUGAGGA
rnacentral:ncRNA from 2 species